ensembl:snRNA U6 U6 spliceosomal RNA
GUGCUCCCUUCAGCAGCACAAGUGCUAGAACCGGAAUGAUGCAGAGAAGAGUAGCAUGGCCCCUGCACAAGGCAGAAGAGGGAAGAGGUCCCAGAUCAGCUGCCGUUUAUC